UACGUAGGUGGCAAGCGUUAUCCGGAUUUAUUGGGCGUAAAGCGAGCGCAGGCGGUUGCUUAGGUCUGAUGUGAAACCUUCGGCUUAACCGGAGAAGUGCAUCGGAAACCGGGCGACGUUGAGUGCAGAAGAGGACAGUGGAACUCCAUGUGUAGCGGUGGAAUGCGUAGAUAUAUGGAAGAACACCAGUGGCGAAGGCGGCUGUCUGGUCUGCAACUGACGCUGAGGCUCGAAAGCAUGGGUAGCGAACAGG
rnacentral:rRNA from 1 species